rnacentral:lncRNA from 1 species
GGUCGUGUCCCUCAGGGACUUUCCCAUUUACUCUGGAAGACCAAACUUAUAGGCUACACUCUGGGUGCAGACAGUGCUAGUCCUGUGGGGAGUUGGGAAAAAGGAGUGGGAGGCUUUGUGGCCGAGGAGGGGCUUCAGGGCAGCAAGGAUGACGGCUGGGUUUGAACAGUCAGUGGAGAAGGAAGUGUGGAAAGGCCAGAGAAGUAGACAUGGAUGUGUGCAUGCCAGAGAGGGCAGGCAGACAGGGUUCAUGGAGGGGGCAGAAGCAGCACAUUGACCUCUGCUUCUGCCAGAAGAUCAGAGGGGAUAUCGGGGGGGUGGUCUGGCCAGAGUAAGGGCAGCCUUGAAGCCCCGAUGGAAUAAUUUUGACUUGAUUCUAUGGAAAAUGACAUACGACAGUGUAGGAGGGCUUGUCUUCUAACUGAAACCAGCUGGGAAUCUUUCCCAGUAGAGUCAAGGGCAGGGCAGAGCGAGGGCCUUUGGCAGCAUGUGCAAAUGUACAUGCAUGUAACCAUUGUGUGUGGCCCACCAUGCUUUUAAACCUACCUUUACCUCCUCUAGUUCUUCAUAUCUCUUAACCCUCUUGUCUGUGAGCAUCAACAAUCCGGGGCUUACACAGACAACACCACAGUGUGCCAUCUUGCCAGAAGGAGAAACUGAGGCACUCUAUUCUAAAGAGGCUGGUUCUAGGACCUGCCCUUGAAUCACUGUGGAGUAAGACCCAGAGUGUGGGCUGCCAGGCCCCUUCCUUCAGGGAUCUGGCUUCUAAAGUUGGUUCUUUUCCUGUAUCUCAUAAAGAGGGAAAGGAUGGGCCUAAGAGAGGUUAUUUGGACAAAUGGCCAUUGUAAUUGCCUCCUAUCAGACACAGGUGGAUAGAGGCAGGUGUGGGGAAGAGGGCUGCCUGGAUCUGGGAUUCCCAAUCCCCCAUACUCCUUGGCCUAUUGUUGAGGGGGAGCUAGAGGAGGGGUGCGGACUUAGCAGGUUAAGAAAGAUAAACGCUUACUCUUUAACAGUGGGAAAGAGGGACGGAAGAGUAAGAUUGAAAUCUGAGGCAAGAGGAGUGGCCUAACCUGGUGGAGGCAGGAGAGGCGCGUGUCCUCUACAUGCCCGUCCAAGUCCCUGGUAGGUUCGUCCUUGCUCUGAGGGAAGAGUGUGGGCCACAGGCCAUGGGGACACUCUGAGGAUGUGGGUGCUGCCCAUCUUGAAGUUUCUCCCCACCCCUCUCCGGAGCUGCUACCAUUGUCCUUUGCCCUCGGAGUGCUCUCCUCCCACCCCCGCCGCCUCUUGUUCUCUUUCUCCCUUGAGCCGUUAGAAUGGCAGGGAGCCCAGCCAGGGCCUGGACGGCGGCCUCAGCUCCCUGUUCUCAAUAAUUGUGUGUGUGUGCAUGUGUGCAUGUGUACGUGUGAGUGCCUGUGUGUGUGCAUUGUGUGUAGGGGCUGGGGCUGGAGUCGACAACAGAUCAGAGCACAGGAGUAGAGCGCUUCUGGGAGGGUGGGGCCACCCGUGAGUCACGUCCUGCACCCUGGAGCCCAGAGGACCCUUCGCUCAAACCCACCACCAGCUGGCAACACCGGACCAGACCAGCCGGAGCCGCUUUCUUCGCUGCGCAGAGGAGCCUGGGAGAAGCCAGAGGUGUAAGUCAAGCUGUGGAGGGACUGGGUGUGGCUGAGCCCCGUGACAAGUGGGAGGAGCCAGGGAUGCUUGGGAGGGGAGGCACUGUGCGCGAGAGAGGAGGGAAAGGGGAAGCGUUCGUGCCUCUCUGCCCCCUGUCCCCCUCUUGCUGCAUAGUAGCCACAUCCAUGUCUCUUGUACCCUGCAAUCUGGAGGCCACUGCCAGAAGCUGGAAAUCUCAAGUAGAGCAGCAAAAGGUAUGAGGAUUGACACAAAGUUGUGGCCGAUGGAGGCUCCCCAAAGUGCAUGGAAGGUGGUGAUCCAGUGUCUAAAGGCAGGAGUACUGGGGCAACCCCAUAGCUGGGGGUCCUAUGGGAGAGACUGAGGAACUUCGGUUUGUGGACUCUCAGUCAACUGUGUUACUGAGGAGGGGAAAGGAAAGUAGAUGAGUUGGUGGUUUGAACAAGACCCAAAUCUUGCUUCUACUUAUAGGUGCUCACAAUGGCCAGUGCCCUGGAAAAGCUCUGGAAUAAAUACACCUGGGCCUUAGAAAGCAGAGGCAGGAGACAAUGCCAUCCAGUGGGAGCUUUCAUUUGUUUCCUCAGCCAGCCUCUGUGUCAGGCUUUUUGGGAACAAGGGCUGGAUGAACAAGACCUUGGGAGUUCCUGUGGGGAGGGACUGGGGGUGAAUGGGCAGUGUGGCUGGCCCGGUGAUCACUUCUCCUCUGCUUGUCUAGGCUUGAGGAUGGAUUCUUGGCUCCUGGUGCAUUGCCACUCCCUGCCACCCUCCUCCUUGUCUUCUAUCUUCUCCUGGUGGCGUCAGGCCUUGCUUCGUGUCCCAACAGGAGCCUCUGGGGCUGGCACAGCCCUCACUGCCUACAACCUGGGCCUGGUGGUUCUCCUAGGGUGCCUCUGGGAGGUCAUGGUCACCCCGCUGCUGGCUAACUGCAGCUACUUCUGCCAGCCAGUGGACUACAGAUGGAGAAAGCAUGGAAUGAGGGCAUCUUCCUGGAGACAGGAAGGUAGGCACUGUGGAAUCAGCGGUGCGUAGAACAGUGAGGAUUUGGGGCUGAACCCAGCCCAGGUGGGCCAAGCCGUGGCACCAGCCGGACUGCAGUCUGAUGGAACUUCCCCUUCCUGCCCAGCAGAUGGCGAGCGUGUGCUGCUGGUGCCUCUUUCCAAAGGACGUUGAAUUGCUUGACAGGUGUUCUUUACUUUAUGAAUGAAGCCAGAGCAGCCCACCUUCCUGCAUCUCUACCACCAUGGCACCAUGCCCUGUGAUGGGUGGGCUGGAGUCAAAUAUGUAGCAGGCAGCCAGGGUCAGUUUGUGGCCACUGCUGCCCCCUCUUCCUACAGUCUCCUCACUGAGUGCCCCUUCCCUGUUGGGUUCAACACAUCUGUGCUCCUGUAAGCCCUCAGCCUCCUCGUUCUCUUCCUCAACUUCUACCACCAGACACAUCUGAGAAGCAAGCAAGAGAGGCUGAACUAGGAGCAGGACCCAGGGACUGAAACCAGCACAGCAUCCCCACAGAGAAUUGGGUGGAAGGCAGCAUGGCUUCCAGCUUACUGGUGCUGAGCAGAUUGCUCUGGGUCUCCAUUGUAUCCUCUGAAGGAAGGAGGAGGAUUGCCUUCUGUCCAGAUCUCAGGAUCAAACAAAUAGGUCCAAUUUCCUGUGCUCACUUCAGUUAGAGCACUUCUCAUGUGACUUUGUAGCUUUGUGUGCAUCUCCUUCCUCUACUAGACCUAAGCCCCUCACGGGAGGGACUCUCUUAUUCUUGAUGUUCCCCACACCUGGAAUUUCAAUAAACAUCUCAAUAAA